GCGAACGAACCCUGAUAGCCUUUCCCGACAUAUCAAGACAACUAUUCGGCCUCCUCGUGAGUCAUGUAUCGCCAAACCAAAAACACAACUCCAUGGAGGUGAGGUACCAGCUACUGAUGAUUUUGCUAUCAACAUAGAAAACGGCGCAGGAGAUCCAAAAUCCGUAAUAAAGAAUCCCCGGCGAACGAACCGUGAUAGCCUUUCCCGACAAAUCAAGACAGCUAUUCGUCCUACAAG